CCUUAGCUUGAAAAUAAUGCUGGGUAAAAAUUUCUGAGGGAAGAUAGGACUUUAUUAGCCUCUCAGUUUGAUACUGUGACCGAAGGAAGUCUCCUGAGUGAAGUAAAGCCCUCCAGAGCAUGCAGCUGAGACGCAGAUUCAGCAGUGUGGGGUAUCUUACAUCCUAUGUAGAGCAGUUUAUUUCAAACCAAGGAGAGGAAAUACAAACAUCUUCCUCAAGAGUGGACUUUGUUCAGCUGUGGGUUCUCUGUAUACUUCAGAGGGCAGAAAAAGGAUGAUGAGCAAAUGUGCUAAUAAAGCUUGCCACCUGGUGGCGAAAUAUGGAACGGUGCUUACAGGAGCACAGUGGACUAAGUCCUGACUGUUCACCAAACCCAGGCUCUGUUUCCACGUGAAUCCUUUUAUUUUAAAUACCACAAGAAUUUUCAUAGGGGUCCAAUGUUAAAAUACUUGGUUUUGUGCUCUGUAUCAGAAGUUUGAGGCUAACUCUGCUUUUGCUGAAGUAAACAGUAAAACUUGUAUUUUUUGUGCAUGUUGUACGCAUUAGAAGUAAAUAUUAAUUGUUUGUGUUUUUAACAACUUCAGUGUUGUUAUAAAGUGGUCACGUUAAAUCUUUUCUCCUUUUUAAACAUUUUGUUGUUUGGCAUUUUUAGAGUUUUAUUACAGGAUUCUAUUUUUACAUAAUUUUCAGCAGUUAUUUAACCAGGGAAAUAAGAUACGUAUAUAUAUCCUUAGUUUUUAAAUGGCUUUUUGAUGUAUUACUUCUUGAAUAAUGCUGGCAUUAUUCCUCUUGCUGAAGGACACCAUUAUUGAGGCAGUUAUAUUAUGAGUUUUAAGGAGCUUAAGAUUAGAGUUUAAGAUUACUUGUAGUAAAUACAUACUUAUCUGAUUGAAUUAAAAAUAAAGCACUAUGUAGAUUUCUUUCCAAUGUUUUUAUAAGUAAGAUUGUAUUCUUUAAAAUUUUACUGUAAUGAAUAAUUUGUAUUUCAUGACAAUAGAAGUUGAACUUCUAUUUUUGUAUAUGUAUAAAUAUGAAGCAUAUGGAUAUAUGUACAAAUAUUCAAAUAUGCAUCCUUCAGUGAAAAUGAUUACUUCAUUGUAUGCUCAGAAAUGCUGCCUUCACUUAAUGCUGUUUUGCUGUUGGUUCUGUCAUGAUGCUUAAUUUUUAAUGAAAUUAAAAUGCGCUUCUUCAUUUA